rnacentral:rRNA from 1 species
GAUGAACGCUGGCGGCGUGCCUAAUACAUGCAAGUCGAGCGAACGGACGAGAAGCUUGCUUCUCUGAUGUUAGCGGCGGACGGGUGAGUAACACGUGGAUAACCUACCUAUAAGACUGGGAUAACUUCGGGAAACCGGAGCUAAUACCGGAUAAUAUUUUGAACCGCAUGGUUCAAAAGUGAAAGACGGUCUUGCUGUCACAUAUAGAUGGAUCCGCGCUGCAUUAGCUAGUUGGUAAGGUAACGGCUUACCAAGGCAACGAUGCAUAGCCGACCUGAGAGGGUGAUCGGCCACACUGGAACUGAGACACGGUCCAGACUCCUACGGGAGGCAGCAGUGGGGAAUCUUCCGCAAUGGGCGAAAGCCUGACGGAGCAACGCCGCGUGAGUGAUGAAGGUCUUCGGAUCGUAAAACUCUGUUAUUAGGGAAGAACAUAUGUGUAAGUAACCGUGCACAUCUUGACGGUACCUAAUCAGAAAGCCACGGCUAACUACGUG